rnacentral:rRNA from 1 species
GUCUUUUUGAAUAUAAUUUAAAGUCUAAUCUGCCCACUGAUAAAUAUUAAAGGGCUGCAGUAUUAUGACUGUACAAAGGUAGCAUAAUCAUUAGUUUUUUAAUUGAAAACUUGUAUGAAAGAUUUGAUGAAAUAUUAACUGUCUCUUAUUUUUUGUUAAAACUUUAUUUUUUAGUAAAAAAGCUAAAAUAAUUUUAAAAGACGAGAAGACCCUAUAGAGUUUUAUAUUUAAUUUUAUUUUAAAUUUAUAUUAAAAUUAAUAAUAAAAUGAAAUUAAAUAUUAUAUUGGGGUGAUAGAAAAAUUAAAAUAACUUUUUUUAAAUAGUAAACAUUAAUAAAUGAUUAAAUGAUCCAUUAAUAAUGAUUAUAAGAAAAAAUUACCUUAGG